rnacentral:tRNA from 1 species
GUCACCAUAGCUCAGUGGUUAGAUCGCUGGUCUUGUAAACCAGGGUUCGUGAGUUCAAUCCUUUCUGGUGGCU